rnacentral:rRNA from 1 species
UACAGAGGGUGCGAGCGUUAAUCGGAAUUACUGGGCGUAAAGCGUGCGUAGACGGUUAUUUAAGUCGGAUGUGAAAGCCCCGGGCUCAACCUGGGAAUUGCAUUCGAGACUGGUGGGCUCGAAUCCGGGAGAGGGAUGUGGAAUUCCAGGUGUAGCGGUGAAAUGCGUAGAUAUCUGGAGGAACACCGGUGGCGAAGGCGGCAUCCUGGACCGGUAUUGACGCUGAUGCGCGAAAGCCAGGGGAGCAAACGGG